rnacentral:lncRNA from 1 species
GAAACUCGGUCUCACAAACCCCUUAUCUGUUAACUCCAGCAACUAAGCUUUUAAUUCUUUCAAUUCAGUCGUAGUCAUUCUGUAUUGAGAGAUCGAAAUUGGUACAGUUCCAGGUAAUAAAUCAAUAGCAUACUUAAGCUCUCUAAUCGGAGGCAACCCCAGCAAUUAUUUUGGAAAUACAUCCGGGAACUCGCAGACUACUUGUACUAAUUCAAGCUUCGGCUCAGACAUUUUAGUAUUUAAUACAUAAGAAAGAUAAGCUUCACACCGUUUUCGCAUAUAUCACUGAGCAGACAUAUACGAAAUCACCAUAGGCAAUUUAUUUGAUUCAUUU